UGGGGAAUAUUGCGCAAUGGGGGAAACCCUGACGCAGCGACGCCGUGUGAGGGAAGAAGGCUUUCGGGUCGUAAACCUCUGUCAGAAAGGAAGAACCUCCCAAGUCCGAAUAGGGCUUGGGACUGACGGUACUUUCAAAGGAAGCACCGGCUAACUCCGUGCCAGCAGCCGCGGUAAUACGGAGGGUGCAAGCGUUAAUCGGAAUCACUGGGCGUAAAGCGCGCGUAGGCCGCUUUGUAAGUCGGACGUGAAAGCCCUCGGCUCAAGAGGGGAACGGCGUUGGAUGGUUAGAGGCGAGAGUCCUGGGGAGGGUGGCGGAAUUCCGAGUGGAGGGGUGAAAUCAGUAGAGGUACGGAGGAACA
rnacentral:rRNA from 1 species